rnacentral:rRNA from 1 species
GACGUAGGGCGCGAGCGUUGUCCGGAUUUAUUGGGCGUAAAGAGCUCGUAGGCGGCUUGUCGCGUCGACUGUGAAAACCCGCGGCUCACCACGGGCCGCUGCAUUCGAUACGGGCAGGCUAGAGUUCGGUAGGGGAGACUGGAAUUCCUGGUGUAGCGGUGAAAUGCGCAGAUAUCAGGAGGAACACCGAUGGCGAAGGCAGGUCUCUGGGCCGAUACUGACGCUGAGGAGCGAAAGCGUGGGGAGCGAACAGG